UCUAGAACUGCAAGAAAGAUUUAUGGCAUAGUCUAGUCAAGGAAAUGCUUUGGAAAUUAUCACACAAGCAGCACAAAAGACAAGAGCACUCUCUUCACUGUGUCCAUCAGACCAAAAGUGUGAGC